rnacentral:rRNA from 1 species
AACGAACGCUGGCGGCAGGCUUAACACAUGCAAGUCGAGCGCGCCCUUCGGGGUGAGCGGCGGACGGGUGAGUAACGCGUGGGAAUAUGCCUCUUGGUACGGAAUAGCCUCUGGAAACGGAGAGUAAUACCGUAUGUGCCCUUUGGGGAAAGAUUUAUCGCCAAGAGAUUAGCCCGCGUUGGAUUAGGUAGUUGGUGGGGUAAUGGCCUACCAAGCCGACGAUCCAUAGCUGGUUUGAGAGGAUGAUCAGCCACACUGGGACUGAGACACGGCCCAGACUCCUACGGGAGGCAGCAGUGGGGAAUCUUAGACAAUGGGGCAACCCUGAUCUAGCCAUGCCGCGUGUGUGAUGAAGGCCUUAGGGUCGUAAAGCACUUUCGCCAGAGAUGAUAAUGACAGUAUCUGGUAAAGAA